rnacentral:rRNA from 1 species
UACGGGGGGGGGUAAGCGUUGUUCGGAAUUACUGGGCGUAAAGGGCUCGUAGGCGGCCAACUAAGUCAGACGUGAAAUCCCUCGGCUUAACCGGGGAACUGCGUCUGAUACUGGAUGGCUUGAGUGCGGCAGAGGGGGAUGGAAUUCCGCGUGUAGCAGUGAAAUGCGUAGAUAUGCGGAGGAACACCGAUGGCGAAGGCAAUCCCCUGGGCCUGCACUGACGCUCAUGCACGAAAGCGUGGGGAGCAAACAGG